rnacentral:rRNA from 1 species
UACGUAGGGGGCAAGCGUUGUCCGGAAUCAUUGGGCGUAAAGAGCGUGUAGGCGGCCCGAUAAGUCCGCUCUGAAAGUCCAGGGCUCAACCCUGGAAAGCGGGUGGAUACUGCCGGGCUAGAAUCCGGAAGAGGCGAGUGGAAUUCCUGGUGUAGCGGUGGAAUGCGCAGAUAUCAGGAGGAACACCAAUAGCGAAGGCAGCUCGCUGGGACGGUAUUGACGCUGAGGUGCGAAAGCGUGGGGAGCAAACAGG